AUGAACGCUGGCGGCGUGCCUAACACAUGCAAGUCGAGCGGAGUAACAGAGGAUUCUCGAUGACUUGUAACUAGCGGCGGAUGGGUGAGUAACACGUGGGUAAUCUGCCCUGCACAGGGGGGAUAACAGCUGGAAACGGCUGUUAAUACCGCAUAUGCACACGUUAUCGCAUGAUAGAGUGUGGAAAGAUUUAUCGGUGCAGGAUGAGCCCGCGUCGGAUUAACUAGUUGGCAGGGUAACGGCCUACCAAGGUGAUGAUCCGUAGCCGGCCUGAGAGGGCGACCGGCCACAUUGGGACUGAGACACGGCCCAAACUCCUACGGGAGGCAGCAGUGGGGAAUAUUGCACAAUGGGCGCAAGCCUGAUGCAGCGACGCCGCGUGAAGGAAGACGUAUUUCGGUAUGUAAACUUCUAUCAGCGGGGAAGAAGAUGACGGUACCCGACUAAGAAGCCCCGGCUAACUACGUGCCAGCCGCGGC
rnacentral:rRNA from 1 species